GGAAUUCCCACGUUUCAGGACCCACAAGAGAGGAGCCUGUGUGUGGCUGGACAGGAACAGACAAAAUAUCACCAAGAAAAAAGCAGAGAGAAAAAAGAGAUCACCCCCCUUGGAUCCAGCAAUAAUCCUGGGGAGCACACAGGAUCUACCUGCCACGUGUCACCAUCAGCUGAAAAAGAAGUCCUCAAGGAAGGCACUGAACGCUCUGGGAUGCAGG